rnacentral:rRNA from 1 species
UGGGGAAUAUUGCACAAUGGGGGAAACCCUGAUGCAGCCAUGCCGCGUGUGUGAAGAAGGCCUUCGGGUUGUAAAGCACUUUCAGCGAGGAGGAAAGGUUGGUCGCUAAUAACGGCCAACUGUGACGUUACUCGCAGAAGAAGCACCGGCUAACUCCGUGCCAGCAGCCGCGGUAAUACGGAGGGUGCAAGCGUUAAUCGGAAUUACUGGGCGUAAAGCGCACGCAGGCGGUUGGAUAAGUUAGAUGUGAAAGCCCCGGGCUCAACCUGGGAAUUGCAUUUAAAACUGUCCAGCUAGAGUCUUGUAGAGGGGGGUAGAAUUCCAGGUGUAGCGGUGAAAUGCGUAGAGAUCUGGAGGAAUACCGGUGGCGAAGGCGGCCCCCUGGACAAAGACUGACGCUCAGGUGCGAAAGCGUGGGGAGCAAACA